AACGGUCAGCCAAUCACAUAAUGUGACGUCAGCAUUAGUCCCAGGACCCCGAAGGACCCCGAACGGAUGUUCCGGGCCGAACGGUUAUUGUACCUACACCGGCGCUUAACGCACAGCAGAUCACACCAACUAUGCCCCACACUACGACCGAAUCUUACCGGCUUCUUCCGUGGUUUGAUGCCUUUAACCAGACAAUAAGGAGGAACUUUCUGUUUAUUCUUCUAUAAAAAUUAAAAAGCCUGCGAACGUUGCAACAGAGAACAAAGAGGAGAACGUCAUAUAUCCUCAAUGUGUACCGAAAAACAUUCGUCCCUCUGCACCACCAAACCAGAACGAAGCCAUUUAUUCUGACAUUAAAAAAGGGAAGAAAAAGAUAAAGAAAGAGAAAGCACCAAAGGUCCAUGGAUCUGGCAGCAGGUCUCGUCUCUUGCUGGUGGGUUUGGGGAUAAUUUGUUUCCUCUUGUGUGCCAUCAUCAUCAUCAGCAUCAGUUACUUCGCCAUGGAAACAAAGAAACUGAAGCUAGCUCUCAGUGACCUUGAAUCAAAAACUGAGCAACUGACUUUAGAGAAGAGAGAUUUACAAAACCAGACUGAAGAUCUGAGGAUGAACAUGACAAAACUAGAGAAUCAGACACAGCAGCUGACUGCAGAGAAGAUGUUCUUCAAGAACCAAACCAUGGAGAUGACGGUUAACAUAACAAUCCUACAAAACCAGACUGAAGAUCUGAGGACGAACAUGACAAAACUAGAGAAUCAGACACAGCAGCUGACUGCAGAGAAGAUGCUCUUCAAGAACCAAACCAAGGAGAUGACGGUUAACAUGACAAUCCUACAAAACCAGAACGAACAGCUCAGAAACAACAGUGACAAACUCAACAGGACCCAGGCAGCAAUCCUCAAGCACCCCAACUUAGCUAUUUUCUGCUCUGAUGGAGUUUGUCAGAAGUGUCCCAAAAACUGGAUUGAGUCUAAGGAAAGCUGCUAUUUUUUUUAUAAUUUAGACUCUUAUAAAGCAUGGAAUGAUAGCCGAGAGUUUUGUCAAAACAUGAAAUCAGACCUGGUGGUUAUCAGCAGUCAUGAGGAACAGAAAUUCAUCUAUGACACAAUAGUUUUCUACCUUGACAAGUGGCACGGAUACUGGAUUGGUUUACAAAAAGUGAACAACAUCUGGACCUGGGUGGAUGACAGUCAAGACAACCUUGGGUACUGGAACAUCUCAGGGAGCCCAGAAGAUUUUGCUAUUAUAGCCAAAAAUCCAGCUUUGACCCAGAGCUGGGUCCAAAACAGAAAUGGCUUUUUGAACAGAUUCAUCUGUGAGAUUAAAGCUUUAAUUUUCUGAU